rnacentral:rRNA from 1 species
GGCGAACGGGUGAGUAACGCGUAAGCAAUCUGCCCCUAAGACGAGGAUAACAGUUGGAAACGACUGCUAAGACUGGAUAGGAGACAAGAAGGCAUCUUCUUGUUUUUAAAAGACCUAGCAAUAGGUAUGCUUAGGGAGGAGCUUGCGUCACAUUAGUUAGUUGGUGGGGUAAAGGCCUACCAAGACUAUGAUGUGUAGCCGGGCUGAGAGGUUGAACGGCCACAUUGGGACUGAGACACGGCCCAAACUCCUACGGGAGGCAGCAGUAGGGAAUUUUCGGCAAUGGAGGAAACUCUGACCGAGCAACGCCGCGUGAACGAUGAAGUAUUUCGGUACGUAAAGUUCUUUUAUUAGGGAAGAAUAAAUGAUGGAGAAAUCAUUCUGACGGUACCUAAUGAAUAAGCCCCGGCUAACUAUGUGCCAGCAGCCGCGGUAAUACAUAGGGGGCAAGCGUUAUCCGGAAUUAUUGGGCGUAAAGGGUGCGUAGGCGGUUAAAUAAGUUUAUGGUCUAAGUGCAAUGCUCAACAUUGUGAUGCUAUAAAAACUGUUUAGCUAGAGUAAGAUAGAGGCAAGUGGAAUUCCAUGUGUAGUGGUAAAAUGCGUAAAUAUAUGGAGGAACACCAGUAGCGAAGGCGGCUUGCUGGGUCUUUACUGACGCUGAGGCACGAAAGCGUGGGGAGCAAACAGGAUUAGAUACCCUGGUAGUCCACGCCGUAAACGAUGAGUACUAAACGUUGGGUAAAACCAGUGUUGAAGUUAACACAUUAAGUACUCCGCCUGAGUAGUACGUACGCAAGUAUGAAACUUAAAGGAAUUGACGGGACUCCGCACAAGCGGUGGAUCAUGUUGUUUAAUUCGAAGGUACCCGAAAAACCUCACCAGGUCUUGACAUGCUUCUGCAAAGCUGUAGAAACACAGUGGAGGUUAUCAGUUGCACAGGUGGUGCAUGGUUGUCGUCAGCUCGUGUCGUGAGAUGUUGGGUUAAGUCCCGCAACGAGCGCAACCCUUAUUGUUAGUUACCAGCACGUAAUGGUGGGGACUUUAGCAAGACUGCCAGUGAUAAAUUGGAGGAAGGUGGGGACGACGUCAAAUCAUCAUGCCCCUUAUGACCUGGGCUACAAACGUGAUACAAUGGCUGUUACAAAGGGUAGCUGAAGCGCAAGUUUUUGGCGAAUCUCAAAAAAA